rnacentral:rRNA from 1 species
UAAGGAGGGCGCAAGCGUUGUUCGGAAUCACUGGGCGUAAAGCGCGUGUAGGCGGCUUGGCAAGUCGGGUGUGAAAUCCCGAGGCUCAACCUCGGAACUGCACUCGAAACUGCCUGGCUCGAGUCCCGGAGAGGGUGGCGGAAUUCCCGGUGUAGGGGUGAAAUCCGUAGAUAUCGGGAGGAACACCAGUGGCGAAGGCGGCCACCUGGAAGGUGACUGACGCUGAGACGCGAAAGCGUGGGGAGCAAACAGG